GUGCUUGCUUCGGCAGCAUAUAUACUAAAAUUGGAAUGCCACAGAGAAGAUUAGCAUGACCCCUGUGCAAGGAUGGCAUGCAAAUUCAUGAAACCAUCCAUAUUUUA
ensembl:snRNA U6 U6 spliceosomal RNA